rnacentral:rRNA from 1 species
UACAGAGGGGGCGAGCGUUAAUCGGAAUUACUAGGCGUAAAGCGCACGUAGGUGGCGACGUAAGUCGGGUGUGAAAGCCCCGGGCUCAACCUGGGAAUUGCAUUCGAGACUGCAUUGCUGGAGUACGGAAGAGGAGGGCGGAAUUCCCGGUGUAGCGGUGAAAUGCGUAGAUAUCGGGAGGAACAUCAGUGGCGAAGGCGGCCCUCUGGUCCAGUACUGACACUCAAGUGCGAAAGCGGGGGGAGCAAACAGG